AGAAAAGAGGAAGUGGAGUGUAUUCAUUUGGUGCGAGGGGAAAGGAUGGGAGCUAAACAGGAGCGGCAAAAACGUGAAGUGGAAUAAGAGGAGAGAAAGAGUGACAGAGAGAGGAAGAGCAAAGGGAGGAGAGUAGAAUAGAGGGAGGGAGGGUUUAGUGCCAAAUAAGCUGCCCCCCUCUUCUCCCACAUCUCAGUCUGUGAGCACUGGAGCACAGCGUGAGCUCUGGAGCGCAUUCUCGACAUGUACACCUGUAAGCCCUAUUCAUUCAUUCAGAGAUGCAGCAUUCAUGUAUGAAUGGCAGCGACACCGUUGAGACGUUAACAGCAGCAAAGAAUAUUUUAAAUCUGCCUUGAUGAGAUCAUUUGAGCUCGGAGGCAGAGGCACCGGAGGAGAAGAAGACAUGCACAAUUAAGGGGCUGGCACUGAGGACGCGACCCUGCCCAAGGAUUGGAUAGCACCCACCGGAUGCUGUGAACAAAAUCUGCUAGUUGUCACCCCAACUCUGCGGCUCGUAUGUGUACCAAACACGCUGUCCUUCACCAGGAAGAUAACUUGAUGGAUUCCUCUGGUCAUCACAGCUGACAUAUGAAGGCCCAGCACCAUUAUCAGCACCUUCAUCAUUAACACAGCACAACAGGAUUAGACUGUGUGAGGAAAGUGGAUCAUCAUUCAUUUCUGUAAAGGACUGAAGAUGUGCAUGGGACUAUUUUGCUGUAAUGAGGAUUUGCCCUGGAUAUAGUUUGCAGUGCCAAAGCCAAAGCUAAUAGGUUGGGACUUGAACACAGAAAAAAUGGACAAAAAAAUAAAGGGAUAAUCAAGUGAACUCAACCACUGAUCAAGUUUCCUCUUCUUGUCAAUCCUUGGAAUGACCAUGUGUGUUGGCUAUGAACUUAGGUAGUGACAUGACUCAGGUCUGACCCUGGAGAUGCCGAAGAGACGAGAUAUUGUCGCCAUUGUGUUGAUCGUGUUGCCUUGGACACUGCUCAUCACUGUUUGGCACCAGAGCACCAUCACUCCGCUGCUUGCUACUCGAAAGGAUGACAGACGUGGGGGUCGCUCCAACUCCAGGAAUACUUUUGCUUUCAAGGAGUCCUGCUCACUGCAGAACCGGGACAUCGUGGAGGUGGUGCGCACUGAAUAUGUCUACAGUCGACCUCCGCCCUGGUCCGACUUCCUUCCCACUAUCCACGUCAUCACUCCCACUUACAGCCGGCCGGUGCAGAAGGCAGAGCUGACACGUCUGGCCAACACCUUGCUCCACGUGCCUAACCUGCACUGGAUCCUGGUGGAGGACUCGCAGAGGAGGACCAGUCUGGUCAGCCACCUCCUCCUGGAGACAGGACUCAACUACACCCACCUCAAUGUGGAGACACCUAGAAACUAUAAAGUACGUGGAGACACUAGAGACCCCAGAAUACCACGUGGUACCAUACAGAGGAACCUGGCUCUGAGGUGGCUUCGAGAGACCUUCAACAUGAAUAACAGCCAGCCUGGGAUUGUUUACUUUGCAGAUGAUGACAACACAUACAGUCUGGAGCUGUUUGAGGAGAUGCGUUCUACACGGAAGGUGUCAGUGUGGCCUGUGGCUUUUGUGGGUGGCCUUCGGUACGAGUCCCCUAAAGUAAACACCUUGGGCAAGGUUUACGGCUGGAAGACUGUAUUCGACCCUCACCGGCCUUUUGCCAUCGACAUGGCUGGGUUUGCAGUGAACCUGCGCCUCAUUCUGUCUAAACCUCAGGCUUAUUUCAAGUUACGUGGGGUGAAGGGAGGAUAUCAGGAGAGCAGUUUAUUAAAGGAGCUGGUGACUCUCAGCGACUUGGAGCCUAAAGCUGCUAACUGCACUAAGGUAUUAGUAUGGCACACACGGACAGAGAAGCCUGUGCUGGUAAAUGAGGGCAAGAAAGGAUUUACAGACUCUAACGUGGAGAUAUGACAUACUUCAUCUGACACAGGUAAUAACAGAGAUUUAGAAAUGCAAAUUACAGCUUUUCCACGCAGUGAUUAUUUGGGGGGUGGAUCAAAGGAGGCAUCUUAGAACAUAUGUGCACCAAGAGAUAUGGACCCUACUUGAAAUAGAUGCCUGACCUUUAUGUAACAUGUUUAGGGGAUUUAGUUGAGCAGAAUUUGUUUGGAAAAGUUGAACAUUUUUGUUUGGUCAUCACAAGAAUUUUCACCUGUACAGUUAAAUAUCUGAACAUCUGCAGGGUGGGUUUUGUACAGAUAUUCAUGGUGCCCAGGGGAUAUAUCUUAUUGAUUUUGUGGUCACCUUACUGUUCCUCUAGCAUCUCUGCACAGUUGAUAAUUUUUGCUUUUUCCUGACAUGUCUCAACAACUGCUGAAUGGAUUGCCAUGAAAUUUGGAAUCAUGUUGGUGAUCAUCUGACCCAUCAGGAGAGGCAUUUCUCCAUGGGAUUCUACCUGGACUCAAACCAACCUCAGAGCUCCUAAGAGCAAUGGCCAGAGUCAAAUAAUAUCACAGCACAGUAGCUGUCCUUCAGCACAGCUUAGAAAUGGAGGAACACCCAUCCACCCCAGGAGGCAGCACAAAGCCAUGUGCGUGUACCGACCAGAGUAUCAAAGCACAACUGCACAAAAACAAGCCUGCCUGUUCUGUCUGGAGCACUGGCCAAUGCGAGACACUGGUAGGAGUUGCCAAAAGGAGCCCACUGAGGUCUGCUCAGAGAGUUGAGACAAAGGAUCUUACGCGACUUAAACUGCAGGAAGAGAUGGCACGGCAAGCAAUAAAGAGGCCUCUCAGCGCAGACAACACCAGCCAACCAUCCAAUCAGCAUUAAAUAGGGCCCUUUUGUUCUGAGGCAAGCUGGCUGUCGGGCACAGGGCUGCACAGAGGAAUAAAAGGGGUCCUUGUCUUAUGUGAGUCAGCACUGACUGACAGACUGCACUGGGAGAAUCUUAGCCCUCCCCACUUGUACUGUACAACACUGAGCUGUUUAGAUAGCACCCUGAACCCAGCACUAAUUAGGACUCCUGUUACUCCUCAACACACACGCUCAGCUGGCACACUGCACAUUAUGAGCACACAGACACACAUGCACUCAAAAACAGAGCAGUGAUUUAUUCUGGUGUAACAACAAUUACUCCAAGCUUUUGUUUAUUCCUGAUAUGCUGUAACACAACUGAGGUCUACUCAUAUUUAGGAGAAGAUUCAGUGUUCCUGGGGGACUGUUCACUUCACAGGCUUCCUCAUAAGCUAAUCAAAAAACCCAUUCAGUAAACUGAAGGUUUACUGAAGGCAGAAUUAUUUAUUGUUUCAGUGUAACUGUCUGGUACCAUUCACUUGUUAGUACGCUUGUGAGAGUCAAUAGGAUAUGAAGUCAUUACUCUAAAAACUGGAUGUGCAUCCUUUCAAAUAGCUGUAUUACAAAGUCUAAUUAUUCCCACCAUGGAUGGCUGGUUUGUAAGUGAUGAUUUUAUACCCCAUUGACUUGCAGUGGCACUGCUUACAAAUGCUAAUUGUUCACUCAAGACUCUGUGACUGUUAAGAGUUUGGUCAGUUAUCGAUGUGACAAGCAUCUAAAACCUUGAACUUUCUCUUUUAGAUAAGGGUCUGAUGUUGCUACUUUGUUGCUUGUGUUUCAUUUGAGAGGUGUUCACAUCACUUCUGCCUCAGCUCAUGUCAUCCCAUAAACCUGU